AAGUCGUAACAAGGUUUCCGUAGGUGAACCUGCGGAAGGAUCAUUAGAAAGUCUGUUUGCCGUGGAGACACGCGCGAACCUACCUUCAAACCACUGUGAAACCACUUGUUGCUUCGCGGCACGUCCUCCGCCCCCCACCGGGCGGAGGGCCGUCAGUCCGCAGAAGCCCAAACCGAAAAACUUCUUUGUAACAGUCUGUCUGAAAAAACAUGAAUUAAAAUUCGUUAAAACUUUCAACAACGGAUCUCUUGGUUCUC
rnacentral:misc_RNA from 1 species